CAUAUGUAUAGUUAAAACUACUUUUAUAAUCAUUACUAUUAUUAUUCAAAAAAGCUCUUAAGUUUUAUGCAUUUUUUUUCAAAGUGUUGUAGGGGAUUUCUUGCUAUAGUAUGUGCAAGUUUCUCGAUUUCUUUCUUUUUAAAUUUGUGUUAGCAUGUGAUUGUAUUUUUUUUUAUUUUUAUGUUUAAAUUUUUUAAUCUCUAAUGAAAAGAAGUAGAUUUGAACUAAUUAAGGUGCAUGUGAAAUUUUAAAACAAAAUUGUGCAAAAUCCUAAAACAAAUGGAAGUUUAACGACAAGUUAUUCGGGGGACCAAAUUGAUAACGUUUGAAACAAUUUGAGGGACUGGACUUCUAAAAACUGACAAUAAAGGACAAUUGCAUAAUGAAUAACAAUUGAGGGACCAAAAGUGCAAUUUUCCCACAAAUGUUUUAACAAUAAUAAUAAUAAUAAUAGAUUGCAUUAGAUUACAUACAAACUAAGAAGGCUAGACAUGCUUAUAUAAGGAUAUAAUGAGCCUAACUAAUGGGCUAGGUUACAACUAGAGUUAUGGUUUCUAUUUUCUAUAUUUCAAGACUAUAUGACUUGAUCAUUAUUAGAAGGUGAUGAAUUUGGGGAUUUAGUCACAUGAAUGGUUGCUGAAGUGCUAAGGUUGUCUUAUUUGAGCCCUUAUGUUUCAGGAGUAUCAUACCUUAAAAUAUUGUAAAAAAGGGGAAAAGGAGAAGAACAAGUUGCGUGUGUUGUGUCCAACAAUUAUGAUAUUUGGCCGUUUGUGGCACUUAGAGAGUUCAUUAAUAAAUUACUGAUUCAUUCAUUCAUUAAUAUUUUGUCUCUUAUAGAAUUCUUUUUCAUGAAUCUUAUUGUUCAUGUUCCGAACAAACAUGACCGAGCUUACUUUACUGGCACUUAUGUGGCAUAGGUCAAGAAUUUUACGGGAUGCUUCCUUCUAAAGUGACCUUGGACCACCUCUCAUGUUACUCAUUUAUGCUCAAAGGGAACUAGUAAUACUUUUACUAUUCUUAAACUUGCGUUUAAGCAACCUUUCUGAACUCAAGUUAGGGAUAGUUUAACUAUUCUAAUAGAAACUUUUACACGGUUGUGAUCAACUUAAUCGUUUUGAAGAUGAAAAGAAUGAGCCAAUAUGGUUGUCUUCAGUGACCUUAGACCUUAGUUCCCAUUUUUGAAUAAAUAUUCAAUGCUUUAUUAGCUAUAAAUGCAAUUCGAACA